CUUGUCUUGCGGAGUUCUCCCAGCACAUGUUUUAAGCAGUCCUAAAAUCAUAAAACUUGUGGGAAAGGCAAGCAAGGAGCAAGGAUUCACCAUUUCUCACCAUACAAGAGCUAUGGCUGAAGCAGUCAAAGAAGGCUGGGGUUUUCUGCAUUACACGUAACUAAGUGCAAGUCAAUGUCAUGCGAUAAAUCCAGAAUGGUGACAAAUGUGAAAACCCAUCUGUGAUGCUGAAUGCUACCUUGACUGGAUUGUAAAUGUGGAGAAUUCUGGCUGAUUUUGCAAAUCAAGAUCAUGAACCACCCAUGGAGUGGACUGACUGGUUAUGGUCAUUCUCCUGUCCUGGCUGGAGUGUUUGAGGAGGAGUCAGUGAACAAGAAGUCAGUCUGGCCUUUCUGGCCACCUUCAUGUUAUGAGGAUUCAGCAGUCCAGGAUGCAGUGGAUGCUCCUCCACAUCUCCUAUGAAUGACUCACACCAACCAUCCAGUGUGAGAGCUGGCUCUUUCAAAAAACUGAAGAGACAGUGACAUUGGUUGGAACUGUAAAGAGUGAAAAGCAGUAGCUGAAAGCUUACUGUCAACAAACAUCUUGUUGAUCUGUGUGCAUGCAUCAUUUACAUAUAACCUCAGAGGUGUUUCCUGCUCUGUACCUUCUGGACAGUCUGAAACUAGUGGGUUAUAUAACAUCAAAGCAACAGAGUUUCAGGUAUUUUAGGGAAAUCUCUUCUGUGGAAUGGAGAGAAGACCUUCUUACAAGGGAACUUCUCUCAGUGUCCCCAAAAGUGCAGUGAAGAGAAGUGCUGUCACAAGCCCUGCUUGCUGCUGUACCCUUGCUUGCUACCCGAAGAGGAAAGGCAAUCUCCUAGCAUGCUCCAGGAUAUUCCCUUCUCCCUGAGGAUGAAAGCCUCUGAGACCAGCAGCCCUCAGAAACACAGCGGUGCCUGUCUGCACUUGAGGAGCUGUGAGUACGUUUUUACCAUAAUGGCUUGUAUGUCUUAAGGAGGGCUCUCUGCCUUUGGUGAUAGAAGAAACUGGUGGUUGGCCUUCAAAGGGAGGAGCUCUGCAGGGAAGCAGCCAGCCUGAGGAUCAGCAGAAGCACUACCGCUACUGCUGAGACCUUCUGGAGGAAGGGAUGGUGUGGUUCUCCAGCCUCCAGCCUGGGAUUUGUGCCAGUGGCACAGAAUGCUACUGUUCGGUUCUGUAAAGCCUCAAAUCUCAUUUCGGUAAAAGUUGUGUUAAUGUGUAUCCAAGCUGUGCACACACUGCUGAAAUCCACUUCUCUAAAGUGCUUUCUGGUCAUGGUUUAUAUUCUCCUUAGAAUGAAUCACAGAUGUUUUGUUGUUCGGGGUUUUUUUCCCCUUAAUCCCAUCAGUUACAUGGUUGGCAAGCAUGCUGUGGUUUGAACUAGGUCUGUUUAAUUUUUUACUUCACAAACUGGUGGUAAUACGGGAAAGGGAGGGGAAGGAAGGUUUAUAGUCCAGACACACAAAGGAAGAUCAUAUCUACUUCCUCAGUGUGUUGGACUUCUGUGUCCAGGUUUUGGUAGCGACCAGGGGCUGGCCCCAUGCUGGAUACAGCUGGCUCUAAAACAAACCCACUGCUGUCCAAAGCUGAGCCCAUCAGUGAAGCUGGUGGCACCUCAGUGGAAAUGUGUUUAAGAAAGGGUAAAACAUGCCGUGUGGCUGUUUUGAGAGAGGAAUGAGGAAAAAAAAAAAUAACAGCCCUGCAGGCAUCAAGGUCCAUGAAAAAGGAGGGGGAGGAGAUGCUCCAGGCACUGGAGCAGAGGUUACCCCAGAGCCCG